CGAAAUUAUCUACGACAAAUAACAGAAAGACACGUGUACAAAGUAAAAUAUUUGUAUUAAUGAAUUUAUGGGUUACAAUCUCUGUGGGUAUUCUUUUAAUAAGAAUUUCCUCUGAUUCGAUCUCCAACGUUGAUUUGAUCCAAGGGUGACCAAGACUUGAUCUUGAAUCGAAUAAUUAUAGUUUGUUCUUCUUAUCGUUUUGACGAUUUGUAGAAGAAAGUUGACCAAUGGCCGUAGAGGCUUGAUCUUGGUCGAAUUUGGGCCACGAGAGGUGUCACGUGAUGAACGUUCUUUAGCUUGAUAGCGGAUGAAUCGACACGUGUGUUUGGUGCUUGUUGAUUCUCCACAAGCUUGUUCAAGAAUUUGGUAGAAGUUUUGAUUUGACACGACCCACCCCGAAUUUCACCCUGAAACCCAGAGUAAGUCAUGCGGGGACCACCUCCAAGGAAAAUUUACUGAAAAGAUUAAGAAAAUCUCCCUUGCAGAUGGACAACCCUAACUCGAAAAUUUCAUAUUACACUCUUAAUUCAACACUUCCGAACCUCACAUAAUAUACAAUAAUCCCAAAGUAUUCAGAGCUACUAAACACAAGCGGAAGCAAGAAAACACGAGUAGGUUGAACAGGUAACCUACUGGCGAAAACUAGCGGAAAUGCGGGUGACUAUGCCUCGUCUCCUACUAGAUCCAACCCGAACUCUGCAGACUGGGCAAUUUAAAACAAAGGGCCCAGGGGAAAACAUUUAAUAACGUUAGAGUGAGUGGACAAAAAUAAAAUAAUAAAUAAAAUAUUUAUGUUUCCCCAAAUUAAUUUCUAAGGAAAAAUCGAAUGCAUGCCGCAACCGAUAAAACUUUUAUCCCAUAAAAUAUCGAGCCUCUCAGACUCUAUAAUAUAUGUAUGUAUUUACACUCGUCCAUACUCCCUAUAUAAAUUCAUGGGUCUAUAUAGGGCUACUACGCUCGCGUCCAACGCUCACGUCACGCCUUAAUGCGGUGCUACACUACGCCAUCAAGGUGGACAGACGGGUGUAUAAAUAUGUGUCCAUACCCCCUAUAUGAUUAAACACUCAAAUAGGGCUACUACGNNNNNNNNNNNNNNNNNNNNCCGUCUGCUCGAGCCUCCUCACGUCCUGUUCCAAAUAUAAUAUUAAUUUCCCAACCAAUAAUCCAAUAUUUAAUCAAAAUAGGCAAAAUUACCCGAGAGCCAUAAUUACGCUCAUCAUUGCCUAACUUCGAUAUUCUUACAUCGGAACGAUCCGAACUUAAAUAUCAUACUCAACAGUCGUAAAUACAACCUCUCCAAAAUACGACUUAAAUCCAACGGCCGGAUUCUACAUUAAUUAACCGCCAAAAAUACCAAACUUCGGAAAUUCACAAACCUAUCCAAAUCUCAUCCAAAAAUUCCAUAAAUCACACUCAUAAUAUCACCUUAAUAUUCUACAUCAAAAACCACAAAAUUUCCCAAAACAGCGGCGGCCGGCGACCAACUCCGGCGACCUGCAAAUGCUACCAAAUUUUAACAGAAUCUUCCUCUCAAUCUCCUCUACAACUUUCAUGACCAACACAAACUCCAAUUCUAAGCCUAACCAUGUCGAUCGAACACAAACAACCAUAAAUCCCCAAAACUUUCAAUUAUACAAACCACCCUAACGAAAUCGAAUUUAGCCGAAACCUUUUGAGGGAUUACUCACCUAGAUGAGGGCUACAAGUUGAGCCAACAAUCUCAGCCUAUGGUGGCCGGAGGACGGAGCUCCGGCGAAGAGACAGUCGGCGGUUCCGGCGGCUUUUUCUCCUCUCCGGCGGGUUAGAGGCUCGGGGGCUAGGCCGGGGAGGGAGAGGAGGUGACGGGGGCCCGAUCUGGGCUGGAGCGGCGGCAGCUGGUGGCCGGACGGCGGCGGGCUGCGGUGGCGAAUUUUUCCGGGUGGAGGGAGAAGAAAUUCGGGUGGGAGGAGAGAAAACGGGAGGGAGAGAGAGAGAAAGGAAAAAGGGUUUGGGCCUCACACCCCAAACCGGUCCACACCACUUAUAACCCAAACUUCCAAAAUAAAAACACCCCGAAUAAAAAAAAUUACCUUUUACUAGCUAAAAUUUACUAUUUUUAUCGUCGUCGUAUUUUCAUCAUACGAAUAAUCCUCUGCACAUAAUCGUCCCCGAAACCCCUCUAGGGACCAAUUAAACUAUUUACUCAUGAUCAAGACGGUAAAAUUCUUAUUAUAAUCACGCUAGUAAAUAAGGUAAAAAUAUAAGGGUCGGGAUGUGACAUGAUUUGUUGAAGACUUGGAGACAAAAGUUGAUCAAAGGCCGUUGAGGCUUGAUGUUGAUCGGUUUUAGGCCACGAGCAGUGUCACGUGGUGGUUGUUCUUCGUCUUAUAGUUGGUGAAGAUGUCGACUAUUUGGCAGCUUGGUGACUCUUCAGGAUUUGACAACUUCUAGGCUUGAGGUUGAUGAAGAAUCGGCUAUUUGGCAGCUUGAUGAUUCUUUAAGGGUUUUGGGAGACUUCUGAGCUCUCGGGAGUAAUUUUUCUCUCUUCUCCCGAAGUCCUCCUCUUGAUAUGAGAGGGGGUAUUUAUAGUGUCAACAUACCUCCGUUUAUGGCAUGUAAUGAAGACACCGAAUUAAUUAUAUUUCCUUAACGGUAAUAACUAAAUCAAUCAGUUUUGAUUGAUUGAUUUAAUUAUUAAUUUUAACAUAAUUAAAUCAAUCAGUCUUAAUUGAUUGAUUUAAUUAUGACCGAUAAGGUAUAACCGUUUUGGCUUAAACGUCCGACUUCCGUUUUCGAUAAUCAAUUUAAUUUAAUUGAUAUUUGAUUAUCGAUCAACAUU
rnacentral:lncRNA from 1 species